GACGAACGCUGGCGGCGUGCUUAACACAUGCAAGUCGAGCGGUAAGGCCCUUUCGGGGGUACGACGAGCGGCGAACGGGUGAGUAACACGUGGGUGACCUGCCCUCCAGCUCUGGGAGUAAGCCCGGGAAACUGGGUCUAAUACCGGAUAUGACUUCAUGACGCAUGUUGUGGAGUGGAAAGCCUUGUGCGGCUGAGGAUGGGCCCGCGGCCUAUCAGCUUGUUGGUGGGGUGAUGGCCUACCAAGGCGACGACGGGUAGCCGGCCUGAGAGGGCGACCGGCCACACUGGGACUGAGAUACGGCCCAGACUCCUACGGGAGGCAGCAGUGGGGAAUCUUGCGCAAUGGGCGAAAGCCUGACGCAGCGACGCCGCGUGAGGGAUGACGGCCUGUGU
rnacentral:rRNA from 1 species